UUGGUUUAAGAGUUAUAAGCCAAAUCUACAUUUUACCCCUCUGUUCUAUUUUUAGCCAUGGCGGCCAUCUUGGUUGGUUGGCAGGGUCACGCCACACAUUUUUUAAACUAGAUACCCCAAUGAUGAUUGUGGCCAAGUUUGGAAUAAUUUGGCCCAGUAGUUUCAGAGGAGAAGAUUUUUGUAAAAGAUUACUAAGAUUUACGAAAAAU
rnacentral:lncRNA from 1 species